rnacentral:rRNA from 1 species
CUAGAGCAAUUUCCUAGACGGUGGAUCACUCGGCUCGUGGAUCGAUGAAGAACGCAGAAAAUGCGCGUCGAAGUGUGAACUGCAGGACACAUGAACAUCGACGUUUCGAACGCCCAUUGCAGCCCACGGAUUCUGUUCCCGGGCCACGCCUGGCUGAGGGCCGGC